UAGGUAAAAUCCUCCUAACUUCCUAGCCUAUAAGCAAGGAAGAUUCCUCCUAUUUUUCCUUCCCAAUUUUCUUACGGCAGUUUCCUUCUUCUUAGAGAAGAAACGAGAAUUUUUGUCUUCACUCUUCUUCCUCGCAUUCUACGGCUCGAUGAAAAAUCCUCAAAAUUCCCCUUCUUCUCUGGGAAGUUUCACAUCUAAUUAAUGGGAUUAAUUUCCCUAUAGAAUCCACCAAACCAUCAAGAGGAUCGGACCCUCGAUAACUCGACAACCUCCAAGUUCAGCCCCAAAAGCCUUCAAGCCAAGCUCUGAGAAUCCUCCGGUUUACUCUUCCGAUCCUCUUUGUCUUCGAUUUUCUUCAAAGAGAGUUAUGUGGAUGGGGAAGGGAAACAAGAUGAAAUUGUUGAUCAGGGUUGAGGAGAACGUGAUGGAGAGGAAGAUAGAUACUAAGGCCAUGGUUUGUCGAUAUUGAAGGCAGAUAUUGAAGGCAGAUAGAGAAGAGUGGUGUUAGGAAUGUGACCUGAAAAUUGAGGGCACAAGAGAUGGCAGUGAUUCAGAAAAGAGAGGAGGAAUACAAACGAGUUUAGAGCUAAGAAGAGAUUGUGUUUUCUAUAAAUAAGAUAUUUAUGUUUUGUAAUUCAUAACAGAUUCUUAGCACUAGAUACUACUAGCCAAAUGAUGCUCUGAAAGAUUGGAAACGAUAUGAUUUUGUUUUAAUAUAUUUAUGCUUUGUGAUUUUGUUUUAA